ensembl:ncRNA lncRNA:CR43151 long non-coding RNA:CR43151
CGGCAUAACACUAAAAUGAACUUUCGAUUCCAUAAUAUUGUAUAAUGAAUUUGCGUAACAGUAGCCGAAUCAUUUGGUUCUUACGCGAGGAUCUCGAAGUGCGGAAUGAAACCUCCUGCGGAGUAGUUGGUCCCAAGAAUGCCCAACACAAUUACCGCAAGAACCUAACUCGGCAUGUAAUAAAAUCCGUGCCGUCUGUCAUUUACUUCGGGAUGAAGGCAGUGUGAGGAGGUCUCAUAAACACUCAUUGAUGGCCAGGGGCCAAGUGGAUGAAGCGCACACACAUUGCAACCUUAUGCUGACUUCCUCCGUUUGUACUUUCCGCUGAUGUGGCACUUAAUGCUAACCCAAUUCCGAUUCACUUUGCGAAAUAAACAAGAGAAAGAAUGAUUUU